rnacentral:misc_RNA from 1 species
GAUGAAGAACGUAGCGAAAUGCGAUAAGUAAUGUGAAUUGCAGAAUUCAGUGAAUCAUCGAAUCUUUGAACGCACAUUGCGCCCGCCAGUAUUCUGGCGGGCAUGCCUGUCCGAGCGUCAUUUCAACCCUCGAACCCCUCCGGGGGGUCGGCGUUGGGGAUCGGCCCCUCACCGGGCCGCCCCCGAAAUCCAGUGGCGGUCUCGCCGCAGCCUCUCCUGCGCAGUAGUUUGCACACUCGCACCGGGAGCGCGGCGCGGCCACAGCCGUAAAACACCCCAAACUCUGAAAUGUUGACCUCGGAUCAGGUAGGAAUACCCGCUGAACUUAAGCAUAUAAUAAGCGGAGGA